AACGAACGCUGGCGGCGUGGCUAAGGCAUGCAAGUCGAACGGACCAGGUGGAAGGCAACGGAAGCCUGGUUAGUGGCGGACGGGUGAGUAAUGCAUGGACAAUGUACCCUGGACACGGGGAUAGCGGCGGAGACUUCGGUCUCCUUUGCGAAAGUGCCGGUAAUACCUGAUAAUACCGUAUGGUCGCAUGGCUGUGCGGUCAAAGCUCCGGCGGUCUGGGAUCGGUCCAUGUCCUAUCAGCUGGUUGGUGGGGUAACGGCCUACCAAGGCAUCGACGGGUAGCGGGCGUGAGAGCGCGACCGCCACAUCGGGACUGAGACACGGCCCGGACACCUACGGGUGGCUGCAGCAACGAAUCUUCCGCAAU
rnacentral:rRNA from 1 species